GAUGAAGAACGCAGCGAAAUGCGAUAAGUAAUGUGAAUUGCAGAAUUCCGUGAAUCAUCGAAUCUUUGAACGCACAUUGCGCCCUCUGGUAUUCCGGGGGGCAUGCCUGUCCGAGCGUCAUUUGCAACCCUCAAGCCCGGCUUGUGUGAUGGGUGCCGUCCCCUACGGGACGCGCCCCGAAGGCAAUGGCGGCGUCGCGGUUAUCCGAUCAGCCAAAGUGUAUGGGGCUUUGUCACUCACUUUACGGCCCGGACCGGCGCCAGUCCGACUCAAUCUUUUUUCUAAAGUUGACCUCGGAUCAGGUAGGGAUACCCGCUGAACUUAAGCAUAUCAAUAAGCGGAGGA
rnacentral:misc_RNA from 1 species